GGGGUCGUAGCUUAGUUGGUAGAGCGCGUCGUUCGCAAUGACGAGGUCGUCGGUUCGAAUCCGAUCGGCUCCACCA
rnacentral:tRNA from 1 species